CCUACGGGUGGCAGCAGUGAGGAAUAUUGGUCAAUGGACGAGAGUCUGAACCAGCCAAGUAGCGUGAAGGAUGACUGCCCUAUGGGUUGUAAACUUCUUUUAUAUGGGAAUAAAAUGUUCCACGUGUGGGAUUUUGUAUGUACCAUAUGAAUAAGGAUCGGCUAACUCCGUGCCAGCAGCCGCGGUAAUACGGAGGAUCCGAGCGUUAUCCGGAUUUAUUGGGUUUAAAGGGUGCGUAGGUGGGUUGUUAAGUCAGUUGUGAAAGUUUGCGGCUCAACCGUAAAAUUGCAUUUGAAACUGGCAGUCUUGAGUACGGGAGAGGUGGGCGGAAUGCGUGGUGUAGCGGUGAAAUGCUGAGAUAUCACGAAGAACUCCGAUUGCGAAGGCAGUUCACUGGACUGCAACUGACACUGAGGCACGAAAGUGUGGGUAUCGAACAGGAUUAGAUACCCGGGUAGUC
rnacentral:rRNA from 1 species